GGGGUAUUUUAAAAGCAGUUAUUAAGUUUUUUUCUUUAAAGCUUUUGAACUUAAUAACACUUUAAGUUAACCUUGUAAACAUUAUUAAGUUUACCUUUCAAAGAUCAAAGAACAAUUAUUAAAACCUUUUUGAUCAGAUAACUAAUAAACUAACUAACUAAAUCAUUGAUGCAUAAUUAACUGCAUCAAUGAUUUUUUUUAUUAUUUUUAUUGCAAAAAAUGCAGAUUUAUCUGUUCAAACCAAUGAUUUAAAAAGGCUUUUUUUAUUAUUAAUCAUUCGUUAUUUUUUUACUUGUGAUUUUAGCUUUAAUGCUUAUAAAAAAAUCCAAUGAUAAAAGUUUUUUUAGAAAAGUGUUGUGCAAACUGAUUUGUUGUGCUAUAAUCUUUAAGGCUUAUAUAGCUACAUUGUUCUUUGAAAACUGAAUACGACAAAUCUUUCUAGUCCGAAAUUUGAUUAAAGUAUCAAAUCAAAUUUCAUAUAAUAUAGAUUCAAUAAAAAUAGCUAAUGGAUCAAAUACAUAAGUUACUAAGGGCUUAU
rnacentral:misc_RNA from 1 species